rnacentral:rRNA from 1 species
AGAUUGAACGCUGGCGGCAUGCCUUACACAUGCAAGUCGAACGGCAGCACGGGAGCAAUCCUGGUGGCGAGUGGCGAACGGGUGAGUAAUACAUCGGAACGUGCCCAAUCGUGGGGGAUAACGCAGCGAAAGCUGUGCUAAUACCGCAUAAGAUCUACGGAUGAAAGCAGGGGAUCGCAAGACCUUGCGCGAAUGGAGCGGCCGAUGGCAGAUUAGGUAGUUGGUGAGGUAAAGGCUCACCAAGCCUUCGAUCUGUAGCUGGUCUGAGAGGACGACCAGCCACACUGGGACUGGAGACACCGGCCCAGACUCCGUA